GUGGGGCGGAGCCAUCCUGGAAGCGCGAAUCUGGUACCGGGACUUGGGGAGCGAGGGAUGCAACAUGGUGCAUCUGGGAGGCCUGCUAACUGGCUAACUUCUCCGGCGUUCCUCCCGGCCGAGGCGUGGGCACAGAAUAGCGCAGUUUGAAGACAUCAUUUUCCAGUUUUGGAGCCGACUAAUGAACUAGUUCUUAAGUGAAAGGCAUUUAACACGACUGUGCAUCUACAGGUACUAGGUUUCCAAGAUGCCUUUCCAGACUAAAACCCACACAUGUGAGCCGCUGGCCGGACAAACAUCUGGCACCUAACGUGGGGCUGAAAAACAGCAGAGGACAUUUGGAAGAAACACUGCUGGUUUGGAGCUCCAUAGAAGAAGAAAAUAAUUAAAGGAAAUUCAUACCAGAGAAGAACACCCCAGUGAUGGCUAUUCUUGGUCAUAAACUUCACUACAUAUGGAAAUACUAAAACCCAAUCCAUUGGGGUCCAAACCAAUGGAGGGAUCGUUCUUGAUUGGAUCAUUCAAGAUGGAAAGACCCACCUUAAAUCUGGAUCAUUUGACCUGGAUCAGAAGAUCCACUCUAAAUAUGGGCCACACCUUCUAGAGACAAUGUAUAUAAAAGAACAGAGAAAAAAGCCCUUGUUUUUGCCUGCUUCCCUUCACUCUGACUGACAAAUUCACCCAUUCUGCUGCUGAGGCAUUCCUUCACUGUUUUUUCCAACGGUUAAAAGUACCCUACAUGCUUUCAAAAAUCCCUAAGUACUGUAGAAUACAGUUUGGAAACAUGAUCUUCACCCCAGUGUUUCUAGACCUUGCUGUCUAUGAAGCUCUCAAAUCCCACCUGAUAGUGUCUACUCAACAAUGAAGAGCUUCAUCAUCAUCGUCAUUGUUGUUCCACCUCCAAGGCUAGAAUUUUCUUCUUCCACCAUUGAAGGUCUCAAAUACCUGCUCGACACCCUCCUCUUAUGACAUAAAGCCUUCACUGUUACUAGAAGCUGCAGCUCCUCUCCUCUGGAUCUUUAUGACCACACCAGGAAGCAUUGUGAUCUGCAGUCACUGCCAACCUGCAGGAUAACACAGCUUGUUCCUCUGGGAACUGCCCUGCAGUGUCUGCAUACAGCCACCCUCGACCUGUCUGCCUGGUCUUUGCAACCUCUAGUGGCUGUUGUUCCACAAUGUGUUGUGAAGAGACCUGAAUGGUUUGCACCAAAACACAAACACAAACCAUUGGGAGAGUGAUUGGUGAAGUGAUGGACAUUUACUCGGGCAAAGGCAUGCAUGUAAAAUAGUCCCUAUCUGGAUGGACCUACGCCUGUGGCAGGAAGUUCACUGGUCAAUUACCUGCUGACUGAAGUGGCCUAUUUUCUUCUGACCCCCUGCUUCUCUCUUCCCCUCUCCGCCCUGAAAGCUGUUUGGGCAUAGGGAGGUCUUGACCUGAGGAAACCAUCUUGGGUAACCAAGGCAAGGAAAGGGAAUAUGCAACACCUAGGAGAUUUCAGCAAACAGUAGAAUCAUGCCAACGUAAUCUGUGUUAAAAUGCUUGGAAUGUGGGAGCCGCCGGUGAUGUCUGUUGUCUGUGUGUCUCCAGUAAUCCUUUCUUUUUUAAGUGCAGCAAAGCCAAGCCUGGAAACCAGGCCAAGCGCCUGCCACUUACCUUAAAUUUAUCAGCCACUUUGAGAUUAAAACCCCUGAAAGCUGCUGCACAGUGAAAGCAAGGCCUCCUUCACAUUAAAGGCAAAUCGCAACUCUG
rnacentral:lncRNA from 1 species